GGCCAACAAACACUGCUCUAGGAGAAUUUGCCAAAUGCAGUAGUGACCAACUGUUUACAGAGACCAGGGUGGCUGACGGUCCUGGUCACUGAUGACAUCGAUAACUGGACAGGGCACCUUCCUGCGAUCCAGGUAAACUCGCUCCAGCAGAGGCUCCAGCCAGCCCACGUUGCAUUCAACGUGCGAGUCGAGGAAGCUUUUCAUGAUCAUGCUCUGCGGAACGCCCUGCAGACAUGCAAGCCCGCGCUCCUUCCCUGCCGCACGGUUACUGACCGGGCCGCCACCUCCUGCACGCGCGGACAAAAACAGCAUGAGAUGGGGAGUCCACAUGGAUAAACAUUUACCUUGGGCCGCAAUCGUGACCAAUGUCGGGGCAAAGCGGAUCCGGGGAGAACGUGGAAAUCCCAAGAUCCGGCAAUAGGGUUGCAGUUCACUGAAGCUGACAGCUGCUGCGGGGUUCAACAAUGCGUCUAUUGUUUAACAUCUCUACUAUCUGCUGACCUGAUGAUGCCACACACUACCUGAGGGAUGGGAAGCUAAGUCAAGAGACACACACUCAAUGAAAAUAUUUCU